CAUUGGCUGGUCCGGCACAAUCCAUUAAUUAAGGAGUUGUAAGUCACACAAUUAGGCCUUUCACCUCUGCGGACCAUUUCUUCCACAAGAUUCAGUGCCUCUUCUGUCCUCCCUUCCUUGCAUAAAGCAUCCAGAACAGCAUUAUGUAACAAUAUCAGGCAAGACUCCAUAAUCAAUCAUGUUUUUAAAUAACCUCACACCUUCGUCCCAGUUACCAGACUUGCAUGAAGCAGAAAUCAUGGAAUUAAAAGUGAAAACAUCAGGCUUUAUACCUUUCUCAGUCAUUGUUCCAAACAGAGUAAGUGCUUCUUGAAUUCUUUCUUCCUUGCAAAGAGUGUUCAGCAGAACAUUAUAGGUGUAUACGUCGGGUGAAAUUCCACUGUUAAGCAUGCAAAUCAAGAAGCUCUUGGCUUUUUCAUACCUCCCCGAUUGGCACAGUCCAUAAAUUAGAGUGUUGUAGGUGACAACAUUAGGCUUGACUCCUUGAUCUACCAUUCCUUCAAAAAGAGAGAGCACUUCUUCCCAGCGACUUGUGUUGCAUAACCCAUGAAUCAAUGUGGUAUAAUUGAAAAUAUUUGGUACAACACUCUUGCUGAUCAUAUCGAAAUAGGGUCAAGGCCUCGUCUAUUCGUCUUUCUUUACAGAGGCUAUCGAUGAUUGGAUUAUAGCAUUCUUGGUUGGGGUUGAACCUUCCACCUUCCCACAUCUUCGUAAGUAUCUCGAGCGCCUUAGAAGUUUUCCCAGCUUUGCAUAGUCCAUUGAUCAUGGUAGCACAAGUGAUUUCAUUGCAUUUGUAUCCUUUCGUUUCUAUUUCCUGGAAGAACUCCAUUGCCUCGGCCAGGGAACUGUACUUCCAAAGCCCGUGAAGCAAAGUAUUUAUAGAACAUGCAUCGGGCUUAAGACCAUAUUUAAGGGUAAUUGCUAAAACAGAGAAACAAGCGUUCACCCGAUUCAGCCGGCACAAGCAAUUCAGAAAAAUAUUCAUUGUACCUACCUCAGGUCGGAAUUGAGUGCAAUCCAUCAACUGUUUACACAUAGAAACCACAGCAGAAUAUUGCUUCAUCUUGGAGAGUGCCCCAAACAAACAAUUGAAAGUCCAAAUCGAGGGCAAGGGUUUGGUUUGAAUCAUAGAAUUAAAGUAACCCAAUGCUUCAUCUUUCCUAAUUUUUCCAGAUUUGCAUCGAGUUUGGAUCGUACUCUCCGGCACCAAAUGGGUUUGUUUAAUUCUAUCCUUACAAGUAGGAUUAGCAUGAACAGCAUUGGAAUGAAAUCCCCUACUUGUAUUCUGCAGACUGGUAAAAAAGAAAGAAGGAAGAUUACCUGGAGAUGGAGGUCUUGUGGUUAUCCUCUUCAUCUUCAUUUGAAAGCUCUCUCCUGUUUUUCUUGGGGUUCGAGGACGAUUUUGGUAUAAAGGCAAGGAUUUGGCUCCAUAUGAGAGCUCUCUCCUGUUUUACUUCGGUUAGUUUUCAGUUCUUAGAAUUCUUUGAUUUUCGUUUACGGAAAACUAUUCUGCAUAGCUCAGGCUAGGAGAGAAACCUACACUAUAACUAUGUACUUUUAUUAUUUUAAUUUUAUUUUGGAUUUUCGUGUCAAUUUUAUAUUUUGGAUGUUCAAUUGAAUUUCUUAUUUAAACUAAUUUCAGAUUGAUGAAUCUCUAUUAAUUAAUAAAACACUCAUUGUCAAUCAAAUUUCUAUGAAAUUAUCAGUUUAACUAUUUAAUUAAAAUAGAACAUGAAUAAGAAAUAUGGGGCAUAAAUGUAAUUUCACACAACCAAAUUUUGCUAAUUUUUUUUCAAAACCUCACCUACAUGUAAUUCUAAUAUAUCUCUAAUUAAAUAAAAAAAUUCCCACUCUCACAUUCUCUAUCACUCUCUUCCUCUCUCCUUCUAUUUCAAAAACAAAAAUAAACAAUUUUCUUAAACACUUUGUGUGUGCCCAUAUUCUAGUAUUAAUUAUGAUUCAUAAGAUCAACCAUGUUUUUUCUUUUUUCUUUUUUUUUUAAAUUUUUUUUUAGUUUUGUUUCAACAAUUAUGCUUGUAGUGAAAUGCAUAAAUUGGUUGAUUAGUAUGAUUUUGACGGCAUAGUUUUUUUUAUAUUUUGUCGUCGUAGGUAUAAACUAUUCUUAGGGUUUUGAGUAAAAUGUAGCAAUAGUUUCUUAACUUUAACUCAAUUACAGCAAUGGUCCCUCAACUAAAAAUUCAUUAUCAUUGGUCUCUCAACUCAUCAAAAUGUGUACAUUUUGAUGAGUUGAGGGACCAAUGAUAAUGAAUUUUUAGUUGAGGGACCAUUGCUCCACUUUGAUUAAAAUUGAGGGAUCAUUGCUACAAUUUACUCAUAUUUCUAUAAGAAAUCUAAAGGGCUUUUUAUAGUUCGAACAUCCAAAAUGGAGAUUUAAUCACCAAAAGCUUUUAUAUUGAGAAAACUUAAUUGUCAUAUCUUUCGAUUGAGAGAGCACGUUGUUUGUGUAUCAAUUGAGUUAUAAAAAAUGAAUCGAAAUAGUGAAAUUGCAUAAUUGUAUAGGCUUAUUAUAUUAACACCCAACAAAUUGUUGAAUAAACCUCACAUACUUAAUACACCCCACAUUUGCUUUUUCACUUAAAAAUUAUCUUAACACACCCCACAUACUUUUCCAUAAUACCCCAACACCCCACAUUCUCAAUAUACACCUUAUAUUUUGUGCAUACACUCCACAUUUCUCAAAUCUUAUAACAUUCAUUUUUAAUUUUCAAGGACUGAAUCUAAUCGUUUGAACGUUUAGUUUGCUGAAAGUGGCAAGGCCUAGAGUUGUGAGGCAACGUAUGCAGGGCGUCCUUGUACUAAAUUUCGACUAAUUACAGCAGUACCAUUUGAUGAUGUUCUUAACCAGAGCAAGUUGUCAAUACCAAUUCCACCCAAGACAAAACCCGAAAUCAAGACAAUACUGAAAACAAUGAACAAGAUCAUAUACAUUUAGGAAAUCUCAACAACAACAGGCGCUGCUGCUAGCUUAUAGUAAUAGCUAUUCCCAGACAAGUAGUACAAGCAAACCAAACCUCUAUUAAACUCAAGAAAAUAACAAUUGAACAAAGUAUCUAUCCAUCCAUCCAACAUAUAUGAAUGACGACGGAGGAGCUUAUUCCAAGAUAGACAUGACAUACGAACACAGUGCUGAAACUCAAGGAAAUAUAGACAUGACAUACGAAGGAGCUUAAUAAUCAUGCAACAGCUGCAUGUAAUGCAAUCUUCCCAAUUCCCCAGCUAUUCCUCAGCAAUUCAGGAUGAUGAUAUUGUCUCGUGGGAGGGGUUUCCUUUUGAAUCCGCACUGGGCACUCAAAGUACAUAUGUUGACCUUCCACUCUACAAUAUCUACAUGGCACGUUAAAAGCAUGCAACCUAUCAUGCCCGCAUGAGUUAUCAUACUGACCACAAAACAAAUAAACCAAACGAAAGCCCCCGCCAACACUAGUUACGUUUCUCGGGACAAACCUCCUGUAUAGGCAAAGUCCACAAGGGUGGCGACCCUUACAACAGACUGGUAUUAAUCCUUCAAUUAUGAUUAUAAUGUUUGUUCUUCAUGUAAUCCUUGUGAUCCUUAAAAGAUGAAUAUGAAUAUAAAAGUUUAAAUAAUGCAACAAACGCAAGAUUAAAUAAUUAUUGAUGUCGUCGAAAUCACUAAAACAAUGAAAAAUAUGAAAUCUUACCUCAUGUGAAGUUUCCGAAACAUCGAUUUUGUGUUUCAUUCGUCAAAAGCAAUUUUUCUCGACCAACAUGUUUAUAAUUUCAUUGGUUAGAGUUUUGUUUAACAAUGGAGGGUGUGAGGAUUUUGAUAAUUGAAAAGAUAAAUAAUACGGUGAAAGUGAUUUGGGGUGUAUUUAGAAAUUUUUAUUUUCUUAAAACCUAAUAAGGUUGAAAUUGUCAUUGUAUAGUGGGGUAAAUAAGUCAUUUAAUAUUAAAUUUGAGUGCUACUAAGCCCAACCCCUUUUCUUAUCUUCCCACCCCACUUAUUUUGUCACCCACUAUUAAAAGUAAAAACAAUGACAUACUAUCUCUACACCCACCUUUAUUCCUAAAAUAACCUUAAUAUUUUAAAUUCCUAACAAUAAAUAAAAGAUAAAAUAACAAUUAUUUAGUUUAAUCUACUCAUGAUUUGUGGAAAAAAAAAAUCAUGAAUUGGGCAAUGGAAAUUUUUUGGUGAUACCAAUGGAAAACUUGAGAUCUCAUUUUGUAUCCUAGCUGGAGAAGGUUGUUGUGGGUUGGGUCUGGAUGAGAGAAGAUGUCGCGUGCACGGCGCAUGGAACAGGCGACACGUUCCAGUCGGGUUGCUCAUAUGGAGGAGUUGCGCAUGUCGCCUCUUCCCGGAUCUGCAGAAGGCCGGCGUGCAAAUAACAGGUUUGUGGGUUCGUAGUGAGUGUUUUCGCCGUGAGAUUUAUCUUCGCAUGAAAGAAGUGGAGGAAGGCGGGGAGCACCAAUACUAAAACAAUGGUUGUCUCAAUGGAUAUGGAAGAAGAAGAGGAAAAAUAAUGGAAGGGGAUGUAGGGGACAACGAUCUGGGCAUGGUUCUGAUAGUAUUCUUCCUCCUUUUUUUUUCUAAACUUUUUAUUUUUAUUUAUAUAUAUAUAUAUAUUCAAAUUGAAUUUUUUUAGGUCUUACUUUGUCAAAAUCCUUUUUUGUUUAGGUCCUUCAAAGUCAUUUUGCAAGAGGAUAAAUUUGUAAACAAAAUAUUUAAUUUGGAGUGGGUGGAGAAAUAAGACAUCGGAGUGGGGAUAGCAACACUCUUAAAUUCUAAUGUGGGGUUCAUUCAACAUUUUGUGGGAUGUUAAUAUAAAAAGUUAUUGUAUAUAGGCAGAACCCAAAUGCUUUAAUGUUGCAUUGAAUUUUUCUUCUAGAAGUUCCAUCACAUUAUGCAGAAUGUGGUUAUUUGGAUUAGGGGUGGGUUCAAAAAACCAAAAAAACCGAACCGAACCGAAUUGAAAAAACCGAACCGAACCGAACUCUUUUGGUUCGGUUCGGUUUUGGUGGUCUAGAAACCGAACCGAAAUAAUUAAAUUAAUAUUUUUUAAAUUUUAUUUAUUUAAUUAUUUGAUUUUAUUAUAUUAGAAUAUGAUACUUCGGACUGCUACUUUGGUAGGACUUGUUUGCUUUCCAAUUCAAAUUGUCUUCUCAGCUUCUCCAUCUACAACAAAAAUUAGAACUUAUACCAUUACAUGCAAUAUUUCUAGUUUAUAUCAUUAAGUGCAACACAUAUAUAAGAACACAUAUCUCAACUGCACUGCAGUUGAUUAGGGAAAACAAACAGCGUAUAAAAGUUUCAUGAGUUUAUUAAACACUACGAGAUCAAAAACAAAAUUCAAACUUUCUCACCUAUGGCCAAGUAUAGUAGCUUCCGUGGCCUAACAAUUUUGAAAAGUAUAUCAAUAUAUUCAAAAAUAUUGAUGUACACCUCUUCAAAAUUUGCUGGUGGUAGAAGCUAAACACAGAAUGUAGAAAUUAUAUUGGGAACUUUAACGAAAAGCACCCGGUACUGUUCACUUUAACGAAAAACCACAUUUUUACACUAAAAAGUCAAUCCUGGUACUAUUCACUUUACCCUUUAUUUUGUCCUUAUCAUUAAAACUUAAAGUUUUCAAGCCCUUUUCAUUAGUUUUCCUAAUUAUAUUAUGUAACCACAUAUAUGGAUAUAAAAAAUCCGGACCAUAAAGAUAAAGAAAAUAUCAAAAAUUGUUACCUAGACAAUAAUCAAAAUAAAUAGUAUAUUAUAGAAUGUUUAUCUUAUUGCUAGUGAAGAAUACAUGUAUAUAUAUAUAUAUAUAUAUAUAUAUAUAGAGAGAGAGAGAGAGAGAGAGAGAGAGAGAGAGAGAGAGAGAGAGAGAGAGAGAGAGAGAGAGAGAGUGAGAAAGAGAGGAAUGAAUAAGGUCGUACUCCAUCAUCAUCGUCUAAAAAGAAAUCUAUUUACAGUUAAACUUUAAACCCAAAAUAUUAAAAAAAAAACCUUUAUGUUAUAAUUCUAGUUGAACUUUAAAUGUUUAUUUUCAUUAUCUUUAAGUCUAGUUGGAAUAUUUAUGUUAUGAUUGUGUUGGAUACGUUAAAAUUUAAGAUUUCAAAUUUUUUUUCAUUUUUUGAAAAAAAACCGAAACCGAACCGAAAAAACCGAAAAAAAUUUGAACCGAACCGAAUCGAACCGAAAUUUCGGUUUUGGCAAAAAACCGAAUCGAUUUAAACCGAACCCACCCCUAAUUUGGAUAUUCUUUUUUCAAAUGCUUUCCUUGUUUUUUUCUUUUGAAAACUGGAGAUAUAUUACCAAGGCACAAAAGUCAGAGAACUACGAAGAAAAACCUAAAGCAAGGCUAACACGCAAACCACACAAACAAAACAAAGCAGAAAAGGGGAUAAGAAGAAAGACGCAAGAACCAAGUUCUCGCGUCUCCCCUUCAACUGCCCCAACAAAAACAUCAAGGGGAACAAAGUAAUCCAUCUUUAUUUAGCACAAGAACCAAGGAAAAUCUAUUGGGAAGUUGCUCGUGAGUUCAUAAAAAUAAAACCAUAAGGAAAUGGUAAGCCCAAAGCGGACAAUAUCAUGUUACGGUGGUGGAACGGGCCCAGGAUGUGACACAACCUAUCAUGCCCGCAUGAGUUAUCAUACUGCCCACAAAACAAACAAACCAAUCGAAAGCCCCCCGCCAACACUAGUUACGUUUCUCGGGACAAACCUCUUGUAUGGGCAAAGUCCACAAGGGUGGCGGCCCUUACAGCGGACUGGUAUUGAUCCUUCAAUUAUGAUUAUAAUGUUUGUUCUUCAUGUAAUCCUUGUGAUCCUUAAAAGAUGAAUAUGAAUAUAGAAGUUUAAAUAAUGCAACAAACGCAAGAUUAAAUAAUUAUCGAUGUCGUCGAAAUCACUAAAACAAUGAAAAAUAUGAAGUCUUACCUCAUGUGAAGCUUCCGAAACAUCGAUUUUGUGUUUCAUUCGUCAAAAACAAUUUUUCUCGAUCAACAUAUUUGUAAUUUCAUUGGUUAGAGUUCUGUUUAACAAUGGAGGGUGUGAGGGUUUUGAUAAUUGAAAAGAUAAAUAAUACCUUGAAAGUGAUUUGGGGUGUAUUUAGAAAUUUUUAUUUUUUAAAACCUAAUAAGGUUGAAAUUGUCAUUGUAUAGUGGCGUAAAUAAGUCAUUUAAUAUUAAAUUUUAAUGUGGGGUUCAUUCAACAUUUUGUGGGAUGUUAAUAUAAAAGAGUGGUGAUAUUCCCACCCCGGUGUCUUAUUUCCCCACCCACCAUUUAAUAAAAAUGUUAAUAACAUAUUUAUCCUUUUAAAAGAAGACUCUUAAACCCCUAUUUAAUUCAGUACUAAAAUAAUAAAUAAAUAAUGGUGGGUGGGAUGUGAUAUCUUUGGUGGAAAGAGGUUGGGAAAGAUUUGGGUUAGAAUCGACGGAAAUGUUGGAGGAAGGAAUGGGCGUGUGCUAGAUGAAGGCGAGAAACUUCAAUAGAGAAAAAAGAGAAUUGGGUGUGAGAUCUGCGGUUUUGACAAAAAAAAAAGGAGGAAGAAGAGUGGUUUGGGGAUCCGGGGUUUUUGCGGCAUUAGGUGUGAAGGAGAUGAUGAAUGUCUAGCUCUUAGGUCUUGCAUUUUCUUUCAUUUUUUAUAUUUUUAUUUAUUUAUUUAUAAUAUUAUUUAAAGAUAUAUCAGAGUUAUUUAAAAAAAUAUAUAUUAUGGUUAUUUUGGGAAUAAUGGUGGGUGGGGAAAUAAUAUUUUACUUUUUAAAUUUUCUAUGGUGGGUGAGAUUAUCAUGUGGGUGGAAAAAUAGGACACUGGGGUGAGUCUAGUAGCACUCAUAUAAAAAGCCUUUGUAUAUAGGCAGAACCCCAAUGCGUUAAUUUUGCAUUGAAUUUUUCUUCUAGAAGUUACAUCACAUUAUGCAGAAUGUGGUUAUUUGGAUAUUCAUUUUUCAAAUGUUUUCUUUGUUGGUUUUUUUUUUUUUUUUUUUUUUUUUUGAAAACUAGAUAUAUAUUAUCAGGGCACAAAAGCUAGAGAACUACAAAGAAAGCCUAAAGCAAGGCUAACACGCAAACCACGCAAACAAAACAAAGCAGCAAAGGGGAUAAGAAGAAAGACACAAGAACCAAGUUCCCAUGUCUCCCCUUCAACUGUCCCAACAAAAAACAUCAAGGGGGAUAAGGUAAUCCAGUGGCGAAGCCAGGAUUUGCCGAGGGGAGGGGCGAAAUUUAAAAGAGUGCAAUGUUCAAUUGAAUCGGUUGCUUUCAUUGGAGAGUGCAAAGUUUUGAGUCAAUAUUCAUAGCAGAAAAUAAUCUCUCCACCAAAGCGUUUGUAAGCAAAAAUAUCAAAGUCAAUGUAAGAAUCUUAAAUUGGCUAGGAUUAGAUCCUAAAAAAUGUUAAGCACUAGUCAAAUAGCGGAUUAGAACCUAGCAGCUAGGUGCCUAGGUGAGAUCUAGGCAGAAGCCCAGAUGGAUUUAAAUUAGGGAGUCUUAUAACGAAACACUCCUGGUACUGUUGAUACUCUAAAAAGUCACUCUUAAUACUAUUCUCUUACAACACAUUUUUGUUCUUUUGGUUAAAACUAAAAAAAUUUCAAACCAUUUCCAUUGAUUUUCAUAUUACUUGAAACAUGAAACAAGUCCUCAAAUUCACAUCGGAAAUUCAUUGAAAAUAGUGAUGGCUAGAAAAAAAAAUACAAAUUUGAGUAUGAAAUAACCUCUUCCAUAUUGUAUUAACAACAUUAAGGUAAUUUUAGUAUUGAAAGUCUUAUUUUAUGUGGUAUUUUGUGGGUAUAGUUUAUCUAAAAUAUUUCAUUGAAGCACUUAUGUUUUUAAAGUAUAAUUAGGGACCAAUCAGAAGAUCAAACCAAAAGAACGAGAGACCAAGGCAAACCAUUUAACCAAAAACAAAGGAACCAAGUCAAACGGAAAAAAGAUAAAAGGAAAAAAAACAAAAAAAAAAAGGAAAGGAAAAACAGAGAAAAACAACAAAAGAAGGAUAGAAGAAAAAGUAACAAAACGGAAAGUUUCAUUUAAAAGGAGUGCUGAAACGACGUCGUCCGGUUCAAGAUAUUUUUAGAACAACUUUUCUUUUCUGUUCUUCUUCCUCGCGCAUGACUUGCCCUCCUGUACAAUAGGCAGCCCACCGUGGAGAUGGCUGGCGCGGUAGCAAAGGGCCAAACAGUGGCCCGGUGUGUGCUGAUUGCUGGGAUUUUUCUACUGGGAAUUUGAAUGCAGCUCUGCUGCGCGCAGAGCAGAACCAGACAGCACAGAGGAGACGAAAAGCAGCGGCGCUGCAGCAGCUCCUGAAAAAACUCUCCAACCCGCUUAACAACCGAUAAGGUAGGAAAGGCUUCCCAUCUACCAUUUUCCAAUGAAGUGGAUAAAGAUGAAAUCGAACUUUUAGAAUCACAUUCAAUGAUUACCCAACGGUAUCCCAAAGCAAGUGCAAGCUCACAGCCACGCAAAAGAGCUAGAGCUUCUGCCAAGGCAACCGAUUUAGCCUGAACCGCAACCGUGCCGCUGCCACGAAGCGACCCAUCGAACCCCUAAUGACAAUCCCCACAAAGCCAUUCUGUGUAGAAGCAGACCAACUAGCAUCAACAUUAACUCCAAAUAACAUUACAACAAGUACCCACAAGUGGCAAGAAGAGGAAGACAAACUAACAAAGAAAGCAUAUGGUAUCUACGAAACAAGAUUUGUUUUGAGGGUGCUAAGCUAUGUAUGGCUCACGCCGAAUCUAGGAUUCUUAUGUGUACUAAAGAAUCCGUCCUUUGUUUUUUUUUUUUCUUUUUUUUUCUUCGGUCCCUUCAGCGUCAAGUGCUCCUAAUUUUUUAGAUUUUAGGUGUUUCUCCUUUGUUGUCUACCGCCCCUUGUUUAAAUCUAUUUGUACUAGUAGCAUUAGCAUUACCAGCAACGGAAUGAAAUCCAACUUUUUUGUGCAGAAAGGUAAAAACGAAGGAAGGAUUACCUGUUGAGUUAGGAAGUCUCGUGGUUAUCACCUUUAUCUUCAUCUUCCACAGAUUCAGCCCAGUUCAUGAAAUCCCAUGAAUUUCAAUCCUUCUCUGGAAUCAAGCUGCAAUUGAAAAGAAACUGACUUCAAUUGGUUCUUGUUUGAAACCCUAAUUCUGUAUUCUGAAAAACAACACCCUUAUGCUGAUGACAUAAAAUAUGCAAGAUGUAUUUACACAAUGUUGGGAGCAAUUUUGCUCACCAUCAUAAACUAUAAUGUAUGCUCAUCAUACUUUUAAUUAAUUGACACGUGUCAUUUCACUUAAUCUUAGUUAACUUUCACAUUAAAUGUUAGUUUUUCAAUUUUGAAAAAAAAUUAACUAAGAUUAAGUGAAAUGACACGUGUCAAUUGAUUAGAAGUAUGAUGAGCAUACACUAUAAUUUAUGGUGGUAAGCAAAAAUGCCCCCAUAAUCUAUAUGUCUGUAUAAGACUAAAAAGGUGAAGUUCUUAAAAAGUUCUUAAAUACCGCUCUAUUUUUUAAUUCUUUUUAAGUAAUACAACUUAAUUAAAAAGAUAAAAACUAUAAAAAUACAAAAUAAAACAACCUCAUUCACGCAGAUGAGUAAAUGAUCAUUUAUCCCAAUGAUAAAAAUAUGUAAUAACCCGUCUCAAAUGUUACGAUUUUCAUCCCGAAAUUACUUUACAAAAUUACUAUUUUAGAUAUUUAUAUUAUUUUAUUAUUUUGUGGUGAGUUUUUGUGUGACCGUGGGACCCACACCCCACUUCUCCCUCCUUUUCCUUUCUUUCCCGUGUCUCCCUUCCCAAAUUCUGAAAACACUCAUUCUCUCUCUAAGUUUCGAACACACUCUGUUUCUUCGAAUUUUGAGCUUGAAAACAUGUGCUUUAACUCGAUUAUACUCUGAACUUGCAUGCCCAGCCUCGGCUUCGAAUUCUAGCAGUGUUCUCAUUUCAUUUCUCUUUCGGUUGGGACUGAAUUUGGUGAGGUUUAAACCUGUUUAUUCGUGCUCUAAACCUCUGCAUGUUAAUUUCAAGUUAAAUUCGAAGGACUGGAGCUAAUGCAUGCUCUGUAUUUUCUGCUCAGAAACCAAAGAAGCCAUCGCCAGUGCCAUUGCAACUAGUCAAAGACCAAUUCAUUCCUAAUCUAUGAAGCAAGGAUACGAAUACAGAUACAACGAUACGGAAAAUCUCUAAAAAAUUAAGGUAAGAUAUGUCAAGGAUACGGCAAAUAAAAAUGUAUAUAUUAAUAAAAAUAUACAUUUUAAAACAUAAUUCAUCAUUUAAAUUCAAGUACAUUUGAGUUAUAAGAGAAAAAAAAGUUCGAAAUUUAAUCAUCUUUAUACAAUAGAAGUGUGAGAGUCGUAUCAUGGUUUUAAUUAGAGGGAGCUUUUGUAUUCAGUAACUUUCAAUUAUAGAUAUCUCCUAUUAAUUUUCUCUGCCUUAUUACCUUUUUUUAAAAGUGUAAAUGUAUUCUAAAAGACGGAUAUGUGUAUCCUAAAUGUAGGAUACGCGUAUCCAUCAAGUCAAAUUCUUGUCCAUCAACCAGGAUACAUGUCGGAUAAGUAUCCGAGAGUAUCGGGUAAGUAUCGUAUCCGAUCAAGUAUCCAAUACGGAUACGGGACCAAACAGAAGUAUCCGUGCAUCAUAGUUCCUAAUCGACUACUGGGUAAAUCUCUGAACCUCUGUGUGAAGUUUUAGCUGGGAUUAAAUGAAAAUUUGGGAGAAUUUCACCUCUGGGUGGUCCUUGUUAUUUCCAGAAACUGGUGAACUAUACCGAAGUAAACUUGACGACCCCGACUUCACAUUCUUCAACGCGUCCAAGAAGGCCAUUGAUACGAUUCCUCUCAUCUCUCUCUUGUGUUUAAGCAAGGAUUUGGCUCCAUUUUAACGCUCUCUCCUGUUUUUCUUCUGUUAGUUUUCAAUUCUUAGAAUUCUUUGUGAUUUUCGUGUACGGAAAACUAAUCUCCAUAGCUAGGCUAGGAGAGAAACCUACACUAUAACUAUGUACUUUUAUUAUUUUGAUUUUAUUUUUGAUUUUAUUUUGGAUUUUCAAUGUCAAAUUUAUAUUGUGGAAUUUCUUGUUUAAUCUAUUUUUGGAAUGAUGAAUAUUAGUUAGAGUAAAUUGUAGUUAUGAUUCUUUAACUUUAACUCAAUUGAAGCAAUGGUCCCUCAACUAAAAAUUCAUUACCAUUGGUCCCUCAACUCAUCAAAACGUGCAGCUAUGGUCCCUCAACUAAAAAUUCAUUACUAUUGGUCCCUUAACUUUAAUUCAACUGGAGAAAUUGUCCCUUAACUUUAACCAAAUUGUAGCAAUGGUCAUUCCAACAUAACUCGUUUUGACAAAAUUUUGACGUAGUUGAAGAAAAGGACCAUAAUUACACACUUUGAUGAGUUGAGGGACCCUAAUUGUAUAAAUGGUCAUUCCAACAUAACUUAUUUUGACAAAAUUUUGACGAAAUUGAUGAAAAUGACUAUAGCUACACAUUUUGAUAAGUUGAGGGACCAAUGGUAAUGGAUUUUUAGUUGAAGGACCAUUACUCCAAUUUGAUUAAAAUAGAAGGGCUAUUGCUACAAUUUACUCUAUUAGUUAUGAUCCAUAAGAUCAACUUUUUUUUUUUUUUUUUUUUUUGUGUUGUUUUGCUUCAACAUUCAUGCUUUUGGUGAACUAUAUAAAUUGAUUGAUUGAUAUGAUUUUGGAUGUUCGAUUUAAUCACCAAAAGGUUUUAUACGAGAAAACUUAAAUGUCAUAUCUUCUGAUUGAGAACGCACCUUGUUUGAUUAUCAGUUGAGUUAUAAAAAUGAAUCGAAAUAGUGGAAUUGCAUAAUUGUAUAUAGGUGGAACCCCAAUGCUUUAAUGCUACUUGGAGCAUAUGGUAUCUACAAAACAAGAUCCUGUUAUACCAUCUUCAGUUAAUGGAAUAGAAUUCCAUCUUGCUAAGCAUUUAAAAGGCCACAGAAAUGUUUCCACAGGAUGAGUCAACCGAAUGUUUGCAGAUUGUAUAAAACAUCAUAUAGCUGGUUGUGUUUAAGGUACAUCAACAAUGCCAACAAUUAGGAUACAACUAUAUAUAUGUUGGACAAUUUGAGCAUUACCCUGCUAAUCCAACAUGGCUUUUACGACGAAAACGCCCCAAAGUUCGUUGCAUUUCCAGAUCAGGCAUCAAUCCUAUUUGGAUCAUUUCUUUAACAAGCCUCAAAGCUUCACCGAUUCUGUUAACGUUUAUAUAGCCGUUGACCAAGGUUUUAUAGGAAGCAAUAUCAGGCGCAUAACCCAUAAUCACCAUUAAGUUCAACACCACCUUCGCCUUAUCCAUUCUGCCCUGCAAACAAUGUUCACUAACCAGCAUACUGCAAGUUAUUGUGCUGAGUUUCAUACCGUAUUCAAUUGUUGCCUCAAAUAUUUUGUGAGUCUCUUCUGUCAUCCCACCUUUGUAGAUAGCAUCCAAAAGUAUUACCAAAGUAACGGUAUCAGGCAAGAGUCCCCGGCCUACCAUAUCAUCAAACAACCUUGUGGCUUCUUCCCAUUGAGCUGUACGGCACAUGCCAUUGAUUAAACUGUUGUAAGUGAUAACAUCUGGGGCAACACCUUCAUCCAGCAUUCUAUUAAACACCCUUGUAGCUUCUUCCCAUUGAGCUGUACGGCACAAUCCAUUAAUUAAGGAGUUGUAAGUCACAACAUCAGGCUUUUCCCCUCUAUGGAUCAUUUCUUCCACAAGAUUCAGUGCCUCUGCUGUCUUCCCUUCCUUGCAUAAAGCAUCCAGUACAGAAUUAUAUGUAACAAUAUCAGGCAAGGCUCCAUAACCAAUCAUGGUUUUAAAUAAACUCAUAACUUCCUCCCAGUUACCAGACUUGCAUGAAGUAGAAAUCAAGCAAUUAAAAGUGACAACAUCAGGCUUUAUGCCUCUCAUUGUCAUCUUUUCAAAUAGAGCAAGCGCUUCUUGAAUUCUUUCUUCCUUGCAAAGACCGCUGAUAAGAACAUUAUAUGUGUAUACAUUGGGUGAAAUUCCACUGUUAAGCAUGCAAAUCAAGAAGCUCUUGGCUUUUUCCAACCUCCCCAAUUGGCACAAUGCAUAAAUUAGAGCGGUGUAGGUUAAAACAUCUGGCUUGACUCCUUGAUCUUCCAUUGCUUCCAAAAGAGAGAGCACUUCUUCCCAGCGACUCGUGUUGCAUAACCCAUGAAUCAAUGUGUUAUAAUUGAAAACAUUCGGUACAACACUUUUGCUGAUCAUAUCUCGAAAUAGGGUCAAGGCCUCGUCUAUUCGUCUUUCUUUACAGAGGCUAUCAAUGAUUGGAUUGUAGCAUUCUUGGUUGGGCUUGAACCUUCCAUCUUCCCACAUCUUC
rnacentral:lncRNA from 1 species